GGCUGAAAGUGGGGUAAAGUCUGGGUGUGCAGUUGUAGGGGCUCUAAUUCCAUGCUGGCCUUGUUGCUCCUGACUUCCUUCCUUCCUAUCUUUCUCUAAACAAUGUCUACGGUCUGACACAGUCCUCUGGCCACACCACCGUGGCCAGCCCCACGCCGACCUCCUGCUCGGCUGUUGUGUCCACUGUUCCUAACUCCUCCUGGGAGAAGUCACCCCAGCUGAACCUCCAGAUAAUGAUGCAGUUGGAACAGGAGGCCAAGCCUUGGGCUAAUACUUCUUUCUUGAUUUCAUGUUAGCACUUGCCAUCUGACCCAACCCCACAGCAACUUUAUAUUCUGCACGUAUCUGCUCAGGGCUUCCUCUGCACAGGGACCACGCUCGGUGUUCAAGGUAUAGUAGAGAGCUAGACAGGCGAUAGUCCCUGCUCUCGUGAAGGUCAACCUUUGAGGAGAAGACAGACAGCAAUAAUUUAAUGAGAGGAUAUCAAACAGGAUGACUGCACUGAAGACAAGAAAACAGGGCAUUCAGGAGGAAAGAACAAAACGAAUAAAGAGGGACAACGCUGGAGACUGAAAGAGACAGAGACGGUUUUGUUCAAAGUCAUUCAUUUUAAAGGAAACAGAACCCGAUCCAGAGAGAAAAGAAGAAAGAAAACUUCAUUACCACCCAAAAUAUGACUGUCUAGGGGAGCCUGGGUGGCUCAGUUGGUUAAGCGUCCCAACUUUGGCUCAGGUCAUGAUCUCAAGGUUCAUAAGUUCAAGGCCUAUGUCAGGCUCUGUGCUGACAGCUCAGAGCCUGGAGCCUGCUUUGGAUUCUGCGUCUCUGUCUCUCAGCCCCUCCUCCCGCUCUGUCUAUGCCUGUCUCUCAAAAAUAAUAAACAUUA